CCUACGGGCGGCAGCAGUGAGGAAUAUUGGUCAAUGGACGAGAGUCUGAACCAGCCAAGUAGCGUGAAGGAUGAUUGUCCUAUGGGUUGUAAACUUCUUUUAUAUGGGAAUAAAAUGUUCCACGUGUGCGGUUUUGUAUGUACCUUAUGAAUAAGGAUCGGCUAACUCCGUGCCAGCAGCCGCGGUAAUACGGAGGAUCCGAGCGUUAUCCGGAUUUAUUGGGUUUAAAGGGAGCGUAGGCGGCUUGUUAAGUCAGUUGUGAAAGUUUGUGGCUCAACCGUAAAAUUGCAGUUGAAACUGGCAGGCUUGAGUAUAGUAGAGGCGGGCGGAAUGCGUGGUGUAGCGGUGAAAUGCUUAGAUAUCACGAAGAACCCCGAUUGCGAAGGCAGCUCGC
rnacentral:rRNA from 1 species